GUAGGGAAUCUUAGACAAUGGGGGAAACCCUGAUCUAGCCAUGCCGCGUGAGCGAUGAAGGCCUUAGGGUUGUAAAGCUCUUUCAGCUGGGAAGAUAAUGACUGUACCAGCAGAAGAAGCCCCGGCUAACUCCGUGCCAGCAGCCGCGGUAAUACGGAGGGGGCUAGCGUUGUUCGGAAUUACUGGGCGUAAAGCGCACGUAGGCGGACCGGAAAGUCAGAGGUGAAAUCCCAGGGCUCAACCUUGGAACUGCCUUUGAAACUCCUGGUCUUGAGGUCGAGAGAGGUGAGUGGAAUUCCGAGUGUAGAGGUGAAAUUCGUAGAUAUUCGGAGGAACACCAGUGGCGAAGGCGGCUCACUGGCUCGAUACUGACGCUGAGGUGCGAAAGCGUGGGGAGCAAACAGGAUUAGAAACCCGUGUAGUCC
rnacentral:rRNA from 1 species